rnacentral:rRNA from 1 species
UACGUAGGGGGCAAGCGUUGUCCGGAUUUAUUGGGCGUAAAGAGCUCGUAGGUGGUUCGGUAAGUCGGAUGUGAAGUCUCCAGGCUCAACCUGGAGGGGUCAUUCGAUACUGCCGUGACUAGAGGUCGGUAGGGGAGUGUGGAAUUCCUGGUGGAGCGGUGAAAUGCGCAGAUAUCAGGAGGAACACCCGUAGCGAAGGCGGCACUCUGGGCCGAUACUGACACUGAGGAGCGAAAGCGUGGGGAGCGAACAGG